GUCAACAUAGUUUAUAUAAAACACUAGGUUGUGGACCUAGCAAUAGAAACUAACACGCUCUUGCUGACC
rnacentral:tRNA from 1 species